rnacentral:rRNA from 1 species
UACGGAGGGGACUAGCGUUGUUCGGAAUUACUGGGCGUAAAGCGCACGUAGGCGGAUUUGUAAGUCAGGGGUGAAAUCCCGGGGCUCAACCUCGGAACUGCCUUUGAUACUGCAAAUCUCGAGUCCGGAAGAGGUGAGUGGAAUUCCUAGUGUAGAGGUGAAAUUCGUAGAUAUUAGGAAGAACACCAGUGGCGAAGGCGGCUCACUGGUCCGGUACUGACGCUGAGGUGCGAAAGCGUGGGGAGCAAGCAGG